UGGCGCCAAGCUUUUGGCAUUAUCUGUGACAAGAGAGUGCCACAAAAGCUAAAAGGCAAGUUCUACAGGACGGCGAUUCGACCCGCAAUGUUGUAUGGCGCUGAGUGUUGGCCGACUAAAAGGCGACAUGUUCAAAAGUUAGGUGUGGCGGAGAUGCGUAUGUUGAGAUGGAUGUGUGGCCACACGAGGAAGGAUCGAGUCCGGAAUGAUGAUAUACGAGAUAGAGUUGGGGUAGCCCCAAUUGAAGAGAAGCUUGUCCAACAUCGUCUGAGAUGGUUUGGGCAUAUUCAGCGUAGGCCUCCAGAA
rnacentral:rRNA from 1 species